rnacentral:lncRNA from 1 species
UUUUUUUUUUUUUUUUGAAAAGGAGUCUCACUCUGUCACCCAAGCAGGAGUGCAAUGGCAUGAUCCUGGCUCACUGCAACCUCCACCUUCUGGGUUCAAGCGAUUCUCCUGCCUCAGCCUCCAGAGUAGCUGGGACUACAGGAGUGUGACACCAUGCCUGGCUAAUUUUUGUAUUUUAGUAGAGACGGGCUUUCACCUUGUUGGCCAGGCUGAUCUUGAACUCCUGACCUCAAGUGAUCUGCCUGCCUUGGCCCCCCAAAGUGCUGGGAUUGCAGGCAUGAGCCACCAUGCCCGGUCUAGCUUUUUAUUUUUUUGAGACGAGAUCUCAGUCUGGGUGAAGACUGGAGUGCAGUGGAACAAUCCCGGCUCACCGCAGCCUUGAACUCCUGGGCUCAGGUGAUCCUCCCACCUCAGCCUCCCAAGUAGCUGGGACUACAGGCACACAUCACCACGCCCAGCUAAUUUUUCAAAUUAUGUGUAGAGAUGUGGGUGGGGGGAGAGGGUCUCACUAUGUUGCCCAGGCUGGUCUCGAACUCCUGACCUCAAGUGAUCCUCCCACCUUGGCCCCCCAGAGUGCUGACAUUACAGGCGUGAACCAUUUCGCCUGACCUGAACAGCUUCUGGACGUGUCUGGCCAGCUCAUAUCCCUCCUGUGAGGACCGCCUCUACUCCCAUUCACAGGGGAAAGCUCCUACCCCCUGGUGCUGCGUGAUCAUGCCCUCCUGGCCCCAGCUGACUGGCCCAGUGGUAGACAGCUGAUCCACACAAGCCCAUCAGACUCUCUCCUCAGGAGUUCACAUCAAGGCUCAGACACCAUUCAGUAACUAAGGGUUACUGGAAAGUGGACGGGUGUAUUUGGGAGCUGAGGGGCCAUACCACCUGGUGCACAUCCACAGCAGCAGCGGCGUCCUGCAGGUGCACCAUGCAGACUCACUGAGAACAGCUGCGUCAGCCACUAAAAAAAAAAAAAAAAAUGGUGGCACAGUAAGCGAUUCAGCCAGAGGCACUCCAAUGGACUGAAGCUGGAAACAAGAAAUUCAAAAUCCUCUCCUUUAGAUCGGCAAAGACAGCUCUUCUCUCCUCUACAUUUGCCAGCCUUCCUUGCAGUGAGGUCGGCCCCAUGUGACCAGCUCUGGACAAUGUGAAUGGAAGUAACAGGUGUCAGUUUCCUCCAUCUCUCUCCUCCCCUCCCGCAGUAACCUUGAAGGCCCUAUAUUCCAGAUGAUGUGGCUACAGAUGGAGGUGCACUGCCUGACCUACAAGACUUUCCACGAGCAAAAAAUAAACCUAGAUGGUGUCAAGCCCCUGGGAUGUCAGGAUUUGAUUAUUCCUGCAGCAUAAUCCAGCCUCUCCUGACUAAAGCACAGGAAUUUUUCAGCCUGGGCCCUUCAGCAGGAUGCUGCAUUCAUUUGUUUAACAUUCAUCUGUUUAACAAAUAUUUCUGGAGCAACAGUGCCAGGUGCUGUCAUGGGUAUAAUCAAGGGCACAGUAGUUUUUAAAAAAAUACAAUAACUACCCUUAGGAAGCACCCUAUCUGGUGACUCAUAAGCCCCACUUGGGACUAAAAGA